UAGGGAAUAUUGCACAAUGGGCGAAAGCCUGAUGCAGCAACGCCGCGUGCGCGAUGAAGGCCUUCGGGUCGUAAAGCGCUUUUCGGGGAGAUGAGGAAGGACAGUAUCCCCGGAAUAAGUCUCGGCUAACUACGUGCCAGCAGCCGCGGUAACACGUAGGAGGCAAGCGUUAUCCGAAUUUACUGGGCGUAAAGCGCGUGCAGGCGGUUCGGUAAGUUGGAUGUGAAAUCUCCUGGCUCAACUGGGAGAGGUCGUUCAAUACUGUCGGACUAGAGGAUGGUAGAGGGAGGUGGAAUUCCCGGUGUAGUGGUGAAAUGCGUAGAUAUCGGGAGGAACACCAGUGGCGAAAGCGGCCUCCUGGACCAUUCCUGACGCUCAGACGCGAAAGCUAGGGGAGCGA
rnacentral:rRNA from 1 species